AAUCCAGCCAUUUACCACAACCAAUUUUAGUCUCCAGAUGGUUAAUUCAUCCCAUGCUACUGUCUAAUACAGGGGUUGGGAACGUCCAACCCAUGCGCCAUAUAGGUCCCAUGAAAUCUGGUUUGGCCCUACCAAGGCAUUAGGGGUGAGUUAAUUAAAUGUUAAUUAAAUAUAGCAGGCUAAUUUUUAAAUUUUGUAUGGCCCGUGAAUGGUGUGAUAAGGAACCAAGUGACUCUUGGCAGAAAAAAGGUACCCCAUUCCUGGUCUAAUAUGUACUUACAGUAUACCAUUCACUAGGUCAGUAAGUACCAAUUGUCCUUGCAGAAAGAGAAGAAAUCAUUUGCAAAAGAUGAGACUUGAUGUAGCCAAUAGAGAUGACGCUAUCAGGCUAGUGACAAUUGAAGACCUGUUACCCAAGACAGGGAAGACUCGGCCUAGUACUUAGCAGUGUGAAGGUGUUGUCUAUAAAGAGCUGCCUAUUUAGGGAAGGAGCUACACCCUCCUGAUACAAGGUAACCAGUGAUGGUGUCUUGCUUGGGAGAUACAUUGUGUCACUUAGAUUGAAAUAAGUUACAAUUUUAAGGAAGACUGUUUCCAAUUGUUAAUUUUACUUUGAGAGUAGUGUUUAGAAUCUUUGGAAGAUAGUAACAGAAUGGUUAUGUAUUUUAGGUUAUGGAAGACUUGCCACAGUAGAGAAACAUUUUCUAGAAUAAGAGCUUAAUCAUUAAGGAAACUCUAGAUUGUUCAGUGUCUCUAUUUCCUAAAUCUGUAAAGACUUAUUAAUCUACAUUUAUGGAAAUUGUACCAGAAGGCUCUUUCAAAGAAUGCUCAAGAC